rnacentral:rRNA from 1 species
GACGUUACCUACAGAAGAAGCACCGGCUAACUCCGUGCCAGCAGCCGACGGUAAUACGGGAGGGUGCGAGCGUUAAGUCGGAAAUUACGUGGGACGUAAAGCGCAUGCAGGCGGCCUGUUAAGUCAGAUGUAGAAACGGCCCGGGGUACUUAACCGUCGGUAAAUUGCUAUUUAGAAACGUGGCAGGCUAGAGUCUUGUAGAGGGGGUAGAAUUUCAGGUGUAGCGGUGAAAUGCGUAGAGAUCUGAAGGAAUACCAGUGGCGAAGGCGGCCCCCUGGACAAAGACUGACGCUCAGAUGCGAAAGCGUGGGGAGCAAACAGGAUUAGAUACCCUGGUAG